GAGCCGCAGCUCACGCUGCGGGCUAGGAGGCGGCCACCCAAGAAACGCGACUUCAGGUCUGCAGGAGCCUCAGAGGGUGCCGUGGCAGCGUUAACAGUAGUGGUGGUCCCAGUUGGGACCAGGGCGUGGGGCGCGUGCGCUGUACGGACACAAACUGACCCGGCGACUUCGCAGAGCCACCAGGGACCAGUGGAGGCCAGGAGGUAGGACGGCUGCUGGAUGGUGGUGACCAGUAUCUUCUAUGGCCACGUUGCCAUAGUGACCACCAUGCUUUGGCAUGUGUGACAGCUAUAGGAGGAGAUCGGCAUGGCUGGACCUGCUGACUACACUCCCCACUUAAGUGGCCUGUGCCCUCCGUCCCAACAGAAGAUUCUAAAUGCUCUGAUUGUAAAAGGCCCUGAGCAGGAGCUCUAGUGGACCAAGGACUUGGUAUGGAGGCCUCUCCUCAAAUAUAAAAGAACAGAGACCAUGGAAGAACCAAACCCUGAUAGCGGAGUGGAGAGGCAGUCACUGAGUUGCUUUCAGCUUUGCUUAGUUGAUGAGGCUGGCCUUGAACUUGCAGUCCUCCUACCCUAGCCUCCUGAGUCAUUGACAUUACAGGAGCAGAAAAGCAUCAACUCCUUUCUGUAGCUUCUGUGAAGUAGAGCACUCAGCUAGGCACAUACUAGGUGCUCAGUAUGCAUUGGACUUGGUGAAAAGGGGCAUUUAAAUACUUUUGCACUCUUCCCGUCAGUCUUCGCCUCUUCCUACAAUGCUGCCCACUCCAGUCCUCCCUGAGGAGGUUCAGGGGAUUCCAAUUUCCAAAUCAGACAUGUUCUCCCAAUUAGAACCAACAGAAGAACCAUGGGUACUGGAAAGAGGAGGGUUGCAAGGCUCCUGUACAGGCAUUUCUAUUUGAUCAAUUCAUACAAAGCCUGGAAAGUAACCAUUUGGAGGACCUGGAUUGAAUAGGGUUUGCAAUUUCCAGUUCUGAAGAGAAAAAAAGGAUCAUUUUAAAAGACAUUCACAUUCCAGUUCAAAAUAUAGCAUAUUUAAUGACGGCACCUGAACUCCAAAGAAGGGACUGGAAGGAGAGUGACAAAGGAAACAAGUUGUUUUUUGUUUUUCAAGACAUUCACUCAUUCAUUUAACAAACAGAUAUUUUACCCAAUUGAAUUUGUCUCAUUACCAAGAUAAUAUGAGCCUAUUCUAGAAAUAAAAAAAAUAGAGACAUGAAGAAAAUGCAAAAAUCUUGAGAUUCUACCACACAGUCCCAUUCACUAUCAACUUUUGCAUGAGCAUUCUUUCAAGCAGGCCUCUGCAGUUAUGUGCAGGAACAUGAAUAUUUUGGUGCAUGUGCUGUGAUUCUCUACCUGUCAUUUUACCCUUAGUCAUGUGUUGUGGACAGCUUUCCAUGUCAGUGAAUAUGUAUGCAUACCUAGAUAUUCAUUCUCUGGAAUGGCUACAUAGUAUUCUGCUGUACCCCUAUAUCAUAAUCUAUAACCAGCCCACUAUUAAUAACUAUUUAGGUUGUUUCCAGGUUUUCAUUGUUCUGUGCAACACACAAAUGAACAAACUUACAUUACAUCUUUACAAACUUGUCAGGAUAUAUAUUGUGACUCAUUUCCUUAGAGUGAGAUUGAUGAGAUAAAUGGUAAAGGGUAAAAUGUCUAAAAACCUCAUUUCCUUUCCAUGUGCAACACUCUUGAGUCAUUUUAACUAGAUACAAAGUAGAAUUGAAUUGGUCUUUAAAGAUCAGCAGAUCCAAUUAACUUCAAUUUCCCUCCCCCUGCUUAUUGUGUGUUAGCAUCCAUAUAUCAGAGGGAACAUUCAGCCUUUGGUUUUUUUGGGAUUGGCUUAUUUCACUUAGC